rnacentral:misc_RNA from 1 species
CUGCAGGAAUUGAAGAGAAAUUACGUUUGACUAAGGACGCUUUGAAUAACUUACAUGACGAAACAAUUAUAAUAUCACAGCCUCUAGUGGGUGAACUGGCUGAGAAAUCGCAGCUUUUGAUGACGAAAAAUAUGAAUGUAUUGAACGAAGCUAACAAGAUUGACCUUCUACGUGAAAGGCUGAAAAUUAUUUUGGAAGGCGAUGGCUUAGUUUUGGCCAAUGAGGCAGGAAAAAAGUCCUUGAGUCGUACACUUGGCUGGAUGGAUCAGUAUUUAGAAGACGCUAUAAAUAAGGUAAUAACUUAACUAAUUAAGUCUGAAUUACCUUGUGAUGUGCUAACGAGGGAAAAAGGGCUCAUAUAGUACUCCCUGAAGAAUUGGGUGGAGGUGCGCGGCUGGUUUCCCAAAACCCUUACCCUAUUUAUGAUUUUCCCCACCUUAGUUAUGACCUGAUCAAAAAUUCGAUACUCUAUUAAGGUGCAAUUUUUUCAUACUUUGCCACAUCAUGAA